rnacentral:tRNA from 1 species
GUUUUAAUAGUUUAAAAAAAACAUUGAUCUUGUAAAUCAAAAUUGAUAAAUUCUUAAAACA